rnacentral:lncRNA from 1 species
CCUGAUACAAUAAAUGGCCCUUGCUCUGUGGGGACCCCGACUUACGAGUCGAGAUCGCCGAAUGAACAUGCUUAGUGAUCCCAGAGAUCAAUUCUCAUCGAACACACAAAAACUGAAUAACAAGAAUCUUACAUCCAUACAUACCAGUUGAUACAAUAAAUGGCCCGGGCAGUCAAGUCUUACAUAUAUAGGGCCUUGAGGACCAACACACCCAACUUGAUCAAUGGAGGAAAUAUUGGUCGAAAGCGUGAACCCGUGCCAGCAUCCUUAACCUACAGGCAUUCUUACUGGGAAGUGUCCUAGCUCGCAGGGACGUCACCAAGUUACUCUUCACCAUAUCAUGCUCUCUCAUACCUGGUCAAUGAAAUAACCAGUGGCAAGCCAAUGAGUACUUUGAAUGUACUCAUAAACAGCCCAUGAUAUGGAUAAUGAAGUUGGUAUGGGAACAAGUAAUAUACAGUAUUGGUGGAUAGCAUCUUAACUGUAAUAAACAUGAUCAUAGAUGGAUGUACAUCAUAAGCUAGAUGCAUUUAGAAGAACAAGUCAUAGAUAUCAACAUAUCUAUUAAAUGUUGAACACUUCGGGUUCACCCGGUAUGCCAAAUCACCAAACUUGGUCAUAUCAACUCUUGAACACACACAUAAUCACACUUGCUUUACGUGGAAACGACUAGACGUAGUUUAAGCAGGAUUACCAGACUGUCCUUGACCGUGGACACUGCUAUUCGAAUAGUUUUACACUCUGCAUAGGUCGUACGCUGCACCCACAAGAUUCGGGAAACUUCCAUGUCAUCCACGACUCGUAGUAUAUAACAUACCCGAGAUAAGUACCCGAUCAAUGCCUUUCCCCUGACGAUACUAGACAUAGAGAUCCACUCGAUUGGUACACAUCCCACCUGAUGUACGUCUUCCGAGCACCAACUAUAGACAGUGUCAUCCAUGCGGGGACCAACGCUGUGCCCGGAACACGUAAAAACGACAUAGUCGCCCUACCUAGCAUGACCCCGUCACGAGAGUGACCACACAUCCCUCCCGCCACUAGUAAUGUGGAUCUUUGCUAGCAUCGACCAGAGUAAUCAACAAAACCUCGUCCCAUAAAGGGGUAACGGGGUCGCACAUGUAAGGUUGGGAUGAUCGACACAUCAUAAAUCUAUUCACAUUUCCGAAACCACUAACACCAAAAUACCCGGUGCACCACUUCUUCAAAAGUGUCCACCUAUCUCAUCAUCACCCUCGGGCAUUAGUGGCACCCGACGGGGUUUUCAUAAACCUUUGAUAUAUGCCAUCAUCAUGCUCAUGCUUCUACUAUGCUUCGCUCUACUUGUCAACAUGAUAUUAGCGUGACCCUCAUAGGUGGUAGGAUCAUGCUCAAAAUGCAAGUGCUCCAGAGGAGCCAUCGGAAACAUCGUAUCGAUG